rnacentral:rRNA from 1 species
GACAGAGGGUGCAAACGUUGUUCGGAAUUACUGGGCGUAAAGCGCGUGUAGGCGGCCCUGCAAGUCGGAUGUGAAAUCCCACGGCUCAACCGUGGAAGUGCAUUCGAAACUGCAGGGCUAGAGUCCUGGAGAGGAAGGUGGAAUGCUUGGUGUAGAGGUGAAAUUCGUAGAUAUUCGGAAGAACACCAGUGGCGAAGGCGACUCGCUGGACAGGUAUUGACGCUGAGGUGCGAAAGCGUGGGGAGCAAACAGG